CGAGAGCCAGGUCCGCGCAGGCGCGCGCCGCCCCGCACCUCUCGCCGUGCGGGAGCAAGACACCUGGGCCCUUCUGAGCUGUCUGUCUUCCCACCGCCCACCCCGCGAGUCUCCUUAAGGCUCCUUCUCGGUCUCGGUCGUCAGGAGGAGGGUACGCCGCCUUCCCACGGGUGACCUCGCUUCCUCCCCGAUACAUCUUAGGAAACAAGACAGGGAAGAAUGGGCGUUUUGUGAGCAAGGAUGAGCCUUGAUGACAAAUUUAAGACCGGAGUAUGAUGGAAUGCAAUGGAAACAAGAGGAUCUCCUAACUUAGACUGGGAAUGCCAGUGCCUCUCUAGAAAAGAUCAUAGAUAUUAAGAGCAACUAGGAAGAUAAUUGUUAUAAUGGAAAGCAUCCUGGACCAGGAAUCAUGGAGAGCUUACGUCUAUUUUUAUCUCUGGCUCUAAGGUGUGUGGGCAUGAACAAGUCACUAGUCACUUUAUGGUUCUCCGUAUCUGAUAAAUGAAGAUAAUUCAUUCUCUAUCUACUUCAUGAAA